rnacentral:rRNA from 1 species
GAUGAACGCUAGCUACAGGCUUAACACAUGCAAGUCGAGGGGUAACGAGAGGAAAGCUUGCUUUCCUUGUUGACGACCGGCGCACGGGUGAGUAACGCGUAUCCAACCUGCCCCCAACUAGGGAAUAACCUUGCGAAAGUAAGACUAAUACCCUAUAAUUUCCUCAGAUGUCAUCUGACGAGGAAUAAAGAUUUAUCGGUUGUGGAUGGGGAUGCGUCUGAUUAGCUUGUUGGCGGGGUAACGGCACACCAAGGCAACGAUCAGUAGGGGUUCUGAGAGGAAGGUCCCCCACAUUGGAACUGAGACACGGUCCAAACUCCUACGGGAGGCAGCAGUGAGGAAUAUUGGUCAAUGGGCGGAAGCCUGAACCAGCCAAGUAGCGUGCAAGAUGACGGCCCUAUGGGUUGUAAACUGCUUUUAUACAGGAAUAAAGUUAGCCACGUGUGGUUAUUUGUAGGUACUGUAUGAAUAAGGACCGGCUAAUUCCGUGCCAGCCGCCGCCGUAA